rnacentral:rRNA from 1 species
AACGCUGGCGGCGUGCCUAAUACAUGCAAGUCGAGCGAGCUUGCCUAGAUGAAUUUGGUGCUUGCACCAAAUGAAACUAGAUACAAGCGAGCGGCGGACGGGUGAGUAACACGUGGGUAACCUGCCCAAGAGACUGGGAUAACACCUGGAAACAGAUGCUAAUACCGGAUAACAACACUAGACGCAUGUCUAGAGUUUAAAAGAUGGUUCUGCUAUCACUCUUGGAUGGACCUGCGGUGCAUUAGCUAGUUGGUAAGGUAACGGCUUACCAAGGCAAUGAUGCAUAGCCGAGUUGAGAGACUGAUCGGCCACAUUGGGACUGAGACACGGCCCAAACUCCUACGGGAGGCAGCAGUAGGGAAUCUUCCACAAUGGACGCAAGUCUGAUGGAGCAACGCCGCGUGAGUGAAGAAGGGUUUCGGCUCGUAAAGCUCUGUUGGUAGUGAAGAAAGAUAGAGGUAGUAACUGGCCUUUAUUUGACGGUAAUUACUUAGAAAGUC